rnacentral:rRNA from 1 species
AGUGAACGCUGGCGGUAGGCCUAACACAUGCAAGUCGAACGGCAGCACAGUAAGAGCUUGCUCUUACGGGUGGCGAGUGGCGGACGGGUGAGGAAUACAUCGGAAUCUACUUUUUCGUGGGGGAUAACGUAGGGAAACUUACGUUAAUACCGCAUACGACCUACGGGUGAAAGCAGGGGAUCUUCGGACCUUGCGCGAUUGAAUGAGCCGAUGUCGGAUUAGCUAGUUGGCGGGGUAAAGGCCCACCAAGGCGACGAUCCGUAGCUGGUCUGAGAGGAUGAUCAGCCACACUGGAACUGAGACACGGUCCAGACUCCUACGGGAGGCAGCAGUGGGGUAUAUUGGACAAUGGGCGCAAGCCUGAUCCAGCCAUACCGCGUGGGUGAAGAAGGCCUUCGGGUUGUAAAGCCCUUUUGUUGGGAAAGAAAAGCAGCAGGUUAAUACCCCGCUGUUCUGACGGUACCCAAAGAAUAAGCACCGGCUAACUUCGUG